rnacentral:rRNA from 1 species
AGUGAACGCUGGCGGUAGGCCUAACACGUGCAAGUCGAACGGCAGCACAGUAAGAGCUUGCUCUUACGGGUGGCGAGUGGCGGACGGGUGAGGAAUACAUCGGAAUCUACUUUUUCGUGGGGGAUAACGUAGGGAAACUUACGCUAAUACCGAAUAUGUCCUACGGGUGAAAGCAGGGGAUCUUCGGACCUUGGGUGAUUGAAUGAGCCGAUGUCGGAUUAGCUAGUUGGCGGGGUAAAGGCCCACCAAGGCGACGAUCCGUAGCUGGUCUGAGAGGAUGAUCAGCCAGACUGGAACUGAGACACGGUCCAGACUCCUACGGGAGGCAGCAGUGGGGAAUAUUGGGCAAUGGGCGCAAGCCUGAUCCAGCCAUACCGCGUGGGUGAAGAAGGCCUUCGGGUGGUAAAGCCCUUUUGUUGGGAAAGAAAAACAGCACGUUAAUACCCCGCUGUUCUGACGGUACCCAAAGAAUAAGCACCGGCUAACUUCGUG